rnacentral:rRNA from 1 species
UCAGAUUGAACGCUGGCGGCAGGCCUAACACAUGCAAGUCGAGCGGUAGCACAGAGAGCUUGCUCUCGGGUGACGAGCGGCGGACGGGUGAGUAAUGUCUGGGAAACUGCCUGAUGGAGGGGGAUAACUACUGGAAACGGUAGCUAAUACCGCAUAACGUCGCAAGACCAAAGUGGGGGACCUUCGGGCCUCAUGCCAUCAGAUGUGCCCAGAUGGGAUUAGCUGGUAGGUGGGGUAACGGCUCACCUAGGCGACGAUCCCUAGCUGGUCUGAGAGGAUGACCAGCCACACUGGAACUGAGACACGGUCCAGACUCCUACGGGAGGCAGCAGUGGGGAAUAUUGCACAAUGGGCGCAAGCCUGAUGCAGCCAUGCCGCGUGUGUGAAGAAGGCCUUCGGGUUGUAAAGCACUUUCAGCGGGGAGGAAGGCGGUGAGGUUAAUAACCUC